AGCAGAGUGAAUUUGAUAGUGGUCUGGGUGGAUCUCUGUCCAUGGCCACAGAAGUGGCUUGCCUGAAAGUCUGGUUUGCCACCAUCUCAGUAUCAUGAUUUGGACAUCCCUGAUGCCUUCCCUAAGCUGGGUCCUCUAUGCUGGCCCCACCAGCAGAUGCCUGAAGCCAGUGAUUCUCCAAGCAGACAAAGUGGAUCCACAGAUGACUUCCCACAGCUCUCCACCCACGAAAGCAAAACAUUUUAGUGCUUUAGGAAGGGCAAGAACCGCCUAGAACAAAGAAGUCAUUGUUCAGCUUUAAAUCUCAGAGACAACUUCCUGUUUCGAAGUCCAUUAGGACCAAACACUCUUGAAGUCAUAUUCUCUAACUGAAGAAGCCCAAACUGACCCGAGUGGAGAAACCAUAUGGAGAGACUGCAUGCAGGUGUUUUGGCUGAUGGCCCAGUCCAAACCUAUAGCCAGCGUCGACCACUGGACAUGUGCAUGUCAGGAAGAAGUCGUUGAGAUGACUUUAUCCCUAGCCACCAUCUGACUGCAGCCUCAUGAACAACCUCAAACAUUACCCAGGAAAGAUGCAUCUGCAGUUCUGAGCUUUUCAAACUGGGGACGUGUAGCAGUGUGCUAGGGUUUCUACAAAGCUGCAGGAAAACCACGGUUCAUCACUCUGGAGCAUCAAUUUUACUCAGUGAAGCCUUCAGUGGCACGACACGUGAUUCUUGUUAUGAAGACGUCACAUCAUUUUGUAAUGCCUGAAGUCCCUAAACCUCCCACAAAAGACCUCCAGAGUCGAGUUCACCAGCUUCACACCUCAGAGUAGCUGUUGAUGGUCCCCACCUCCUGCCAUUCUCAGUUACUGUCUUCAACACCUCACUCCUCUCCUCAGCUACUACAGCCAGAGGGAAGAAGGUCACCAAUAGUGGGCCUGAAGCUGGUGAAAUGCCAGGGAGCGAACCAACUCAUUAUAGCUGGGCCGUAAGUCUUUCCAUUCUCCUGACAGCCACCUGUUUCCAUAGACAGGAAGGGCUGGUGGCCAGAUGUCUUCGUAUGAACUUCUCUGCAGGGUCCUAACGGAAAGAGAAAUACUGCCGCCAGUGUUUGCUUAUCUCUCUCCAGCAGCAUUCCCAGGGGUCCUGGUCCCGGCUCUGAGGAGCGCAGCGAGGGCCAGGCACCGUCUCUUGCCAUGCCGCCUGCAGACCUGGCCCAUCUGCUCACAGAGCACCUCGCCACCCGCCACCCGCGCUGCUGUCUGCUGCUGUCUGGGUGUUUCCGGCCAUCUGACUGCAUAGGCUGGCUUCGACAAAGUGACAGAAGCUGUAAAAACAGCUGUUUGACAUUCCCUGCUGCUUUUUAAAACCAAACAACAACCAACAAAGAGGUUGAAUGAAAUGCAGAAAAUACCCUUGUUUUCAUGUGGAUGAGGAUAUUUUUACUCAGAGAACAUUUAUUUUCCUUCUGCCUUGCUCUAUUCCCUAUUUACCUACCCACUCAUUUCCCUCCCUCCCUGCCUCUCUCUCUCUCUCCUUUCCUUCCUCCCUCCUUCCUUCCUCCCUCUUUUCCUUCUUCCUUUCCUUUCCUUCCUUCCCUCCUUCCUUCCUUCUUCCUUCCUUCCUUCCUUCCC